CAGCAGCCACGGUAAAACGAAGGGUGCAAGCGUUACUCGGAAUUACUGGGCGUAAAGCGUGCGUAGGUGGUGGUUUAAGUCCGUUGUGAAAGCCCUGGGCUCAACCUGGGAAUUGCAGUGGAUACUGGGUCACUAGAGUGUGGUAGAGGAUAGUGGAAUUUCCGGUGUAGCAGUGAAAUGCGUAGAGAUCGGAAGGAACAUCUGUGGCGAAGGCGACUAUCUGGGCCAACACUGACACUGAGGCACGAAAGCGUGGGGAGCAAACAGGAUUAGAUACCCCGGUAGUCCCUGUCUCUUAUAC
rnacentral:rRNA from 1 species